UGGAACAAUGUAGGUAAGGGAAGUUGGCAAAUGGAUCCGUAACUUUGGGAAAAGGAUUGGCUCUGAGGGUUGGGCUUAGGGGUGUGUGGCUUGACCUUGUAGGCUGCUGGCGGUCUGCCUGAGCUGCUUGUGUGGCAAGGGCAGGCCACGGCGUGCCGACCUGGUGAUGGACACAGAACACCCCUCCCCGCAGGGGGCAUUCCCUAGGCAUCGAACAACUGACUCAGAACUGGAACGGACAAGGGGAAUCUGACUAUUUAAUUAAAACAAAGCAUUGUGAUGGUCCCUGUAGAUGUUGAUGCAAUGUGAUUUCUGCCCAGUGCUCUAAAUGUCAAAGUGAAAAAAUUCAACCAAGCACGGGUAAACGGCGGGAGUAACUAUGACUCUCUUAAAGUAGCCAAAUGCCUCAUCAUCUAAUUUGUGAUGCGCAUGAAUGGAUUAACAAGAUUCCCACUGUCCCUAUCUACUAUCUAGUGAAACCACAGCCAAGGGAACGGGCUUGG
rnacentral:ncRNA from 1 species